rnacentral:rRNA from 1 species
GGAUGAACGCCGGCGGCGUGCCUAAUACAUGCAAGUCGAGCGAACAGAUGAGGAGCUUGCUCCUCUGACGUUAGCGGCGGACGGGUGAGUAACACGUGGAUAACCUACCUAUAAGACUGGGAUAACUUCGGGAAACCGGAGCUAAUACCGGAUAAUAUAUUGAACCGCAUGGUUCAAUAGUGAAAGACGGUUUUGCUGUCACUUAUAGAUGGAUCCGCGCCGCAUUAGCUAGUUGGUAAGGUAACGGCUUACCAAGGCAACGAUGCGUAGCCGACCUGAGAGGGUGAUCGGCCACACUGGAACUGAGACACGGUCCAGACUCCUACGGGAGGCAGCAGUAGGGAAUCUUCCGCAAUGGGCGAAAGCCUGACGGAGCAACGCCGCGUGAGUGAUGAAGGUCUUCGGAUCGUAAAACUCUGUUAUUAGGGAAGAACAAAUGUGUAAGUAACUAUGCACGUCUUGACGGUACCUAAUCAGAAAGCCACGGCUAACUACGUG